AGGCAUUUAGCUCAGUUGGUUAGAGCAUGGUGCUAAUAAUGCCAAGGACCAGUUGCAUAUUCCUGCAUUGCCGG